AUUUAUUUAAUUUUGUUUUAUGUGAUUUUAUUUGUUUAAUUAUGUUAAAAGUAUUUAUAUAAAUAUAUUUAAAUGUACUCUAUCAACAGCGUGAACUUCUCAGCGCUCCAACAUCAACCAAACGUCCAUCAACCAAACGUAAAUUUAAAGCGUGCGAACGACAAGACCCCGCUGCACCAAUAUAUACAGUUAACAUCAGAACAGGUGUUUUUCUUCUUUGCAUAAACUAAAAUAAAACAGGUCAGUAAAAA